rnacentral:rRNA from 1 species
CCCGGUGUAGUGGUGAAAUGCGUAGAUAUCGGGAGGAACACCCGUGGCGAAGGCGGCCUUCUGGGCUGUUCCUGACGCUGAAGGCGAAAGCUAGGGGAGCGAACGGGAUUAGAUACCCCGGUAGUCCUAGCUGUAAACGAUGGAUGCUGGGUAUGGGGGGUGUAAAUUCCCUCUGUGCCGAAGCAAACGCGUUAAGCAUCCCGCCUGGGGACUACGGCCGCAAGGCUAAAACUCAAACGAAUUGACGGGGGCCCGCACAAGCAGCGGAGCGUGUGGUUUAAUUCGAUGCUACACGAAGAACCUUACCUGGGUUUGACAUGCACGUGGUAGGGAACCGAAAGGGGACCGACCUUCGGGAGCGUGCACAGGUGCUGCAUGGCUGUCGUCAGCUCGUGCCGUGAGGUGUCGGGUUAAGUCCCGUAACGAGCGCAACCCUUGCCCUUAGUUACAAGUGUCUAAGGGGACUGCCCGGGACAACUGGGAGGAAAGUGCGGAAUAACGUCAAGUCAGCAUGGCCUUGAUAUCCAGGGCUACACACACGCUACAAUGGCCGGUACAAUAGAUUGCGAAGUCGUGAGGCGGAGCCUAUCCUCAAAGCCGGUCUCAGUUCGAAUUGCAGUCUGCAACUCGACUGCAUGAAGCUGGAGUUGCUAGUAAUCGCAGGUCAGCUAUACUGCGGUGAAUACGUUCCCGGGCCUUGUACACACCGCCCGUCACGUCAUGGAAGCUGGCUACGCCUGAAGCCGGUGAGCUAACUCGAAAGGGAGCAGCCGUCGAGGGUGGGG